GAUGAACGCUGGCGGCGUGCCUAACACAUGCAAGUCGAACGAAUCAGAUAUUCAACACUGAGUAUUUAGACGAAGGAAAAAAGUUAGCCAGCGUCAAGGACGAACGAUAGAGAGUCCUUUACGCGUUCAAAAAGUGUGCUAACACAUGAUAGUCUGAAUGUUGAGUGUUGAAUAUCUGAUUAGUGGCGGACGGGUGAGUAACGCGUGGGAAACCUGCCCUAUACAGGGGGAUAGCCUCGGGAAACUGGGAUUAAUACCCCAUAAAACUCUAGUAUCGCAUGAUACAUGAGCCAAAAGAUUUAUCGGUAUAGGAUGGUCCCGCGUCUGAUUAGCUAGUUGGUGAGGUAACGGCUCACCGAGGCGACGAUCAGUAGCCGGCCUGAGAGGGUGAACGGCCACACUGGAACUGAGACACGGUCCAGACUCCUACGGGAGGCAGCAGUGGGGAAUAUUGCACAAUGGGGGAAACCCUGAUGCAGCGACGCCGCGUG
rnacentral:rRNA from 1 species